UGGGGAUUGCCUCAGUAACGGCGAGUGAAGCGGCAAGAGCUCAAAUUUGAAAGCUGGCUCCUUCGGAGUCCCCAUUGUAAUUUGCAGAGGAUGCUUUGGGUGCGGCCCCCGUCUAAGUGCCCUGGAACGGGCCGUCAGAGAGGGUGAGAAUCCCGUCUUGGGCGGGGUGUCCGUGCCCGUGUAAAGCUCCUUCGACGAGUCGAGUUGUUUGGGAAUGCAGCUCUAAAUGGGUGGUAAAUUUCAUCUAAAGCUAAAUACUGGCCGGAGACCGAUAGCGCACAAGUAGAGUGAUCGAAAGAUGAAAAGCACUUUGAAAAGAGAGUUAAACAGCACGUGAAAUUGUUGAAAGGGAAGCGCUUGCAACCAGACUCGCCCGCGGGGUUCAGCCGGCAUUCGUGCCGGUGUACUUCCCCGUGGGCGGGCCAGCGUCGGUUUGGGCGGCCGGUCAAAGGCCCCUGGAAUGUAGUGCCCUCCGGGGCACCUUAUAGCCAGGGGUGCAAUGCGGCCAGCCUAGACCGAGGAACGCGCUUCGGCUCGGACGCUGGCAUAAUGGUUGUAAACGACCCGUCUUGAAACACGGACCAAGGAGUCUAACAUCUACGCGAGUGUUCGGGUGUCAAACCCGUGCGCGCAGUGAAAGCGAACGGAGGUGGGAGCCCCCUCGUGGGGCGCACCAUCGACCGAUCCUGAUGUCUUCGGAUGGAUUUGAGUAAGAGCGUAAAUGUGGGGACCCGAAAGAUGGUGAACUAUGCCUGAAUAGGGCGAAGCCAGAGGAAACUCUGGUGGAGGCUCGCAGCGGUUCUGACGUGCAAAUCGAUCGUCAAAUUUGGGUAUAGGGGGCGAAAGACUAAUCGAACCCAUCUAGUAGCUGGUUCCUGCCGAAGUUU
rnacentral:rRNA from 1 species